rnacentral:tRNA from 1 species
CCGUCGAUAGCUCAGUUGGUAGAGCGGUGGACUGUAGUGAGUGUUAGUCUGUAGUUAUCCAUAGGUCGCUGGUUCAAAUCCGGCUCGACGGA